CGUUACCGGGACCUGCGGCGGCCCGGGGACAAGGACCGCCCUGGGGACGGAGACAGGGAUGGAGACACCAGCCCCCAGAGGCAGGAACCCCCCCCCCCCGGCUGCUCCAGCAGCCUUUUGUCAGGAGUCGCCUGCUCCAGGAAUUAGAGGCCAUCGAUUCUUCCCAAAGGGAAGGAGCCUGGAGCUGCCACACACCAGGGAAGCAGGAAGAACCAGAGGAAGUCCCUGCCACCUCCUUUCUCCUUGCUUUCCCUGCAGGAUUUUUGCCAAAUGUGGAAAAGAACACAUCUAAUCCAGCCAAGGUAUGUUUUGUGAGCAGUUUGGUACAAGGGACAGCAUUCCUUUUGCAGGCACCUUAGCUCCAGGACAAAGGAAUUCCUGAUGGGAAGAGAGAGAAGGCAAAGGGAACACCCAGCCACCCAUGAUGAGGCAAAGGAGAGACUAAAUCAGAGGAAGAGGAAUGGCUGGGCCCUGGUUGUUACAGGGAGAGAGAGGCAAAUAAGCAGAGACACCCCCUAAGGCAAGGCAGGGGUUCCUCUGGUACCUUCUAAAUUCAUAAAACAAAUCAGCAAAUCCCUCCUGGACUCCCACUGUGGGGGAAUUCCACCUCACCUCAACCUCUGCUUCAUUGGCACAGCAUCUCCCCGGAGUGCUCCAAAACCAGGGCGCCACAACAACCAAAAUUAACUGGACCAAGGAAGAUAAAGAGGGCCAAGCCAGGAUUUAAUCCAAGUUCUGCUCCUCUGCAGCUCUUCCCUGCAGCGACCUGAGAGUAUCCAGGCCCAGAUCCAUCACUAAUUCCAUCCCAAAGCAGCACAGGUUUCCUUUCAGCCCAGGGACACCAAGGAUAAGUUCUGCAAGUCCCGGGGAACCUGAGAGCGGCCACGCGGAAUGUUAAGUCACACACUGGCCCUCCCCAACCCCGUAAAUCAGCAUCCUAAACCCUACAGCUCCCAAAGUUCAGCUGGCUGACAAAACCUCAGAGUAUGAACAAGCCCCUGGAUUUGUGAGCCCCACCUCACCCGUUCCCAGGCUCUGUGAGGGAGGUGACGGGGAAGUGGCCCUUGAGAACAGCCCGCGGCACACGAACGAGGCAGGAGGUCCCAGCCCCAAAUCCCUGUUAGACACGGGGAUCCCUUUGGAGACAAAUGUCCUUGCUUUGGAAGAGCCGUCUGGGCCCAGCCAGAGCGACACGAGGAGCUGGUGGGAGGAAGAGUCACUUGGAAGGAGGAGGUCUGGUUGGAGGCUCCUCCCGGGAAGGUGUGGACAGGCCUGUGGGUGCCGCGGGUCCGGCCUGUGGUGCCUGCCCGGCUCGGGGCCCUGUGACACCUGCCCAGCCCGGCUCAGGUGCCCGCCCUGGACACCAGGUAGUAGAGGAUGAAGAAGAUGAGGAUGAGGGCCACGGACACGGCGCAGAGCAGCCGGCGGUUGUCCCGCCCGGAGCGCGCCAUGGUGGAGAAGCGCUUCACGCUGCCCGUCAGCAGCCCCGUCACACUGAGGAAAUCCGAGUCCUGUGGAGGGCAGAGACAGCCAAGGUGGAGGCAUCGUAGAGUCUUGGAAUAUCCCGAGUUGGAGGGAUUCCACGAGGGUCAUCCAGUCCGACUCCUGGCCCUGCACAGGACACCUCAACAACCCGACCGUGUCCCUGAGCUCUGGCAGGUUUGUGGCUACAACCACUGCCCUGGGGAGCCUGUUCCAGUGCCCAGCCACCCUCUGGGGGAAGAAGUUUACCCUAAUACCCAACCUAAUACAACUCCAGCCAUUCCCUCGGGUCCUAGGAUCAAGCCCAUCCUACUGUGCCACAGAUGAAGGAAUCCUUGAGGAAUCUCCCACCUCCUGGCUAAAAACAUUCGCACAGAAGCUGCACAGCAGUCACCUGUUUCCCUCAAGGUCCUUCCCUUCCAGUGCUCCAGGAUCAGCACCGUUCCCACCUUUCUGGAGCUUCUGCUCAUGUUGCUCCUGAAAUGCCUCAAAACCUCUUGUGUAAGAGCAGCGCGGUUUGGUGCCCAUUUAGGGCUUCUCCCUUAAGGGCUCUCGCCAUCCCACCUUUCAUCUCAAUUCCCUGAUUUGUUGGGAGUUGUGUGGCAGACCAGGACACUCAACAGCCUGUGGGACCCAGAGCAUCACCUGUACUCCCUCUGAAGACACCAGUGUCCCACAUGCCCCACAGGGAGCCUGCUGGAGGUGCUGGAGUUCAGGAAUUGGUUCAUACAGCAGCACCAAACACCAAGGGAGAGCUGAGGAACAGCCCGGAGGCAGCUUUAAUCCCAGCAAGGAGGGACCUCCACUGGCAUUUCCCAGGUGUGCUGUCCCACAUCAGCCCUUCAGGUGCCAGAUACCAACCCUGCCCCAUUCCCCAGGUCCUCACCAUGCCAUCCAGGUAGCGGUUCUGUUCCUCAGCGUCCUUGUCGAUAUCCAGAGCCAGCUGCAGAACAAGGGAGGGAACGGGCAUUCAGGAGCUUGUCGCGUACGGAGAACCUCUAAAAUGAAAGUUAUCAAAGCAACCUGCUGCUUUCCUGGCUCCUGCAGACACACAGGGGCUUGUCUGGGACAGGAACAAGGAAAAUGAUUCUCAUUUCCCUGUAGGGUUGUUGAACUUUUCCACCUCUGCAGCACUGAAAGUAAAGUCUGACUGUCUAAAUCUGUCAGGGUGUUUAAUCCCUGGGAUACAAGGGCAGGAAUUCAGAGUCUGCCCUUCUACACUGUGAGUCACUGACUUCUUUCGUGGUUUUUACUGUUUUUUAAAUAAUAAUUUAUAAUAAUGUUACAAUUGUCACAACAAUUUUAUAAUAACAUAACAAUAAUUGUUAGAAUAAUUAUAAUGCUAUAACAAUUUUUAUAACAAUAAAAACCAGAGCUUAAAUCUCUAAAUCAAAGUACUUGAUAUUAAGAGCAAACCAGUUUUAAGAUCAUUUGCACAGAGACACAGGUAUUUUCCAAAACUAAUCUCCCUGCCUUUUUAUUGUGAUUUUUUUCCCAAGCAGGUGAGCUUGGCAACACCCCUCUGUGCAGGGGUGUUUAUGUUUUAUGUAUGUUUUAUGUUUCUUUUUUGAUGUUUCUCUCUGAGCCUAAAACUCCUUUUCCUGAGUGUCAGGUGAUGUCGUAAACCCCAAAGGGAAAGCAGGAAUUUGUAAAGGUGUCCUUGGCACUGCACAAGUGAAAAUUAAACCGCUGUAUCACCAACUAAGGUGAUGCACAGGAA